rnacentral:rRNA from 1 species
UACAUGCAAGUCGAGCGAGGGUCUUCGGACCCUAGCGGCGGACGGGUGAGUAACACGUAGGCAACCUGCCUGUAAGACUGGGAUAACAUAGGGAAACUUAUGCUAAUACCGGAUAGGGUUUUGCUUCGCCUGAAGCGAAACGGAAAGAUGGCGCAAGCUAUCACUUACAGAUGGGCCUGCGGCGCAUUAGCUAGUUGGUGA